rnacentral:lncRNA from 1 species
UAAAUACCGCCAGGCUGAAGGAAGGGACUGUUGAACCCGUCCCAGCCUCCUCUUAAAAUAAAUACGCCCCUGUAAAAAUAGCGCCAUUUGCCAUAUUUGAGGAUCCAGUUAUCGCCGGCCCGGGCUGCUUGUUUUUCCCGUAGCCUUUGCGGGCCGGAGCGGGCUGGGGGCCGUGCGCGGGGGGCUGCGCCGGUGCCCCCUCUCCCGGGAUUUCCCCUCCGCCCCGGCGUUUGGGCAGCGCGGGGAUGGGGACGGAGGCCCUUGGUCGGAGGGGUGCGGAGCGGGAGCGGACSCCGCGUCCCGCUUUGGGGCCGGGGGGCUAGGGGGGCCGUGGGGCGCUUCCCCGCGGGCUCCGCGGGAGCAAAGCGGCCGUUUGCAAUGGAAUUUCGCCCCGGCAGCGGCCGAGCUUGCCGGGAGACCGCGGGUGCUCGGCGCGAACGAGGCCGCGACGGAUGCGGCCGGGCGGCGCGGCGCCUUAAGGCAGCGGCUCGCUCUUCUCUGCGGACCCGCGCGGCAAAAUCCGAGGGGUAGUUUUGUUUUCGUCCCGACCCCACCUCCUUCGGGCAAAAGUGAAAUGAAUGUCCCGGUCUCGGCUUAAUCUGGCGAUGGGCGUGUUGUCCUUGGCAGCUUUUGCCUUUCGGAAAGGGGGAGGGGGGGGGCUCCUUGCAGCCCCGCUCCCGGCCCUGAUCCAUGGUGUGCCGGCGAGAACUGGAGCUGGACGCGGUGCCCACGCUGGGAAACCCUGGCCUGGGACAGCACGGGGUGCCGGGAAGGCCCCCCACGUCGCUCCUGCUGGGAGCAGGCUCCUGCUCUUUCCCAGCACAGCAGCUGUCGGAGAAAUGGAAAUCUCCGGGAAUUAAUCUCGCUUCAGACGCGUUUCGCAGCGCCAGGGCUUUCGUAAGGGAAAUUCUAGAUCUCCUUCCGAGGAUAGCCCACGGAUAAACCCUCGUUUAUAAUUAUAUAGUAAACAACCCCAAUCUUGUCUUUUCACCAGCUUCUGAUGAAUAUGGAAAUGAACGUUUUGACGAUUAAGUGUGUGCCGGCGCCUCGCAGGUGAGCACGCCGCGGCUUGGUCCGGGCCGCGACGGCAAGGGAGGAUGUCGGAGCACGUCCUUCAGCUCGGGCGAGCGCCCGGCUAGUCGAAACAAGGUGCCGGGACUUUUCGGCGUGUGCUCAACUGGUCCCAGUUAAAGCUGCGGGCAGGAGGCGGCGCCGGGUACCCGGGCCAGCCCGGCGUGUGCUAGCACGACCGCCGCCGUGCCCGGACGGUGAGGCGGGAGCCCGGGCUGGGUAACGCGGCCGAGCAGCGCCGG